UGGGCCCUAGCAGAAUACAAAACGAGCACAUAUCCAAGUGUAUCCUCAAUUCUAGAUUCCUACAAGCACUCUAUUGUCCAACCACUCCGCUUCAUAAUUGACAUUCCCAGUAACAGACCUCACCUCCUACCAGAUCCCCAGCCUUCGGAAUGCUAAAGCUGGUUGAUUAGUGUCUGCAAAACUACCGAUUCUGGGGACAGCCCCUUCUCCUGCUCUUGCAGCUCUGAGCAUAUCCCUUCUGCUGACUCUCCCCAGGGACCUGACUGUCCCUUGCAGAUGGUCACCACCCUCUAGGUAGUACAACUUCCCGGGACACCCCAAUGUCUGCUCUCGCCCCCGUCCGGUUGCUUGGAAAUGUGCAGCGGGCAGCGACGUCACACAGAGAGGUGGGUGCCCUCUGCCCGGCGCACCAAUAGCGCGGCCACGGCCGGCCUCUUCUUCUCCAGCUAUUGGUGCUUCUGGCCGCUCGGCUCCACCCCAGCCCGCCAUGGCGUCAGCCGCCGCAACCCGGGGGAGGAGGUUCCCACUUUAAGAAGUGAAGUUUUCCUCCCCCUCCCCCUCCUGCCCACCUCCUGCCGCCUCCCGCGCCCCGCGGGGCCGCGGAUGGAGCUCCGCCGUGGCGGCGUGGGGAACCAGGCUGCGGGCCGGAGGAUGGAUGGGGACUGCCGCGAUGGCGGCUGCGGCAGCAAGGACGCCGGGUCGGAGGACUACGAGAACCUACCGACCAGCGCCUCGGUGUCCACCCACAUGACAGCGGGAGCGAUGGCCGGGAUUCUGGAGCACUCCAUCAUGUACCCGGUGGACUCCGUGAAGACACGGAUGCAGAGUUUGAAUCCAGAUCCCAAAGCCCGGUAUACAAGCAUCUAUGGCGCCCUCAAGAGGAUCAUGCACACUGAAGGCUUCUGGAGGCCCCUGCGGGGCCUGAACGUGAUGAUGAUGGGUGCAGGGCCCGCGCACGCCAUGUAUUUUGCCUGCUAUGAAAACAUGAAAAGGACUUUAAAUGACGUUUUCAGCCACCAAGGAAACAGCCAUCUAGCUAAUGGUAUUUUGAAAGCGUUUGUCUGGAGCUGGGAAGCUCUUCUCUCUGGGGCUUCCUCCCCCGGACCCAGCAACCUUCAUCCUCGGCAAACAGAGAACUCUAGGGUCACGUGAAUGCGGUCACGUGAACGCGCGCUUUUUUUUUUUUUUCUUUCAAUUCAAUCCCUCUUUCUCUGGGGGAAGCUGGUGGUAGAUGUGUUUUGGUAUUUGGUAUUUAUUAUUGUGUGGCUUUUUUUUUUUUCUUUUAAGAAAACACUCGAAACAAUUAAUGAUCAGUCAUAGGAAAAAAUAUCUUUUGAAUGCUGGAUGCAAACCAAAAAUACACAGAAAAGGACAGCUUCUUUGAGACUAUUUAAAAACUGGUACAGCAGGUAUCUCCAGCGCCAGGAUCUAACUAAGCUUUGAAAGGUCAAGACGUUUUAUGCUGACAGAGGACUCCGAGCCACUGUGGAAGGCCAUCCCCACUUUAAGCUGCCGGAGACUCGGGCCUUUGACCCCCCCCCACAGCGUCCUCCGGGUAGCUGGGAGUAUGGCCACCCUACUCCACGAUGCAGUAAUGAAUCCAGCAGAAGUGGUGAAACAGCGCUUACAGAUGUACAACUCCCAGCACCAGUCAGCCUUCAGUUGUAUCCGGACAGUGUGGCGGACCGAGGGGUUGGGGGCCUUCUACAGGAGUUACACCACACAGCUGACCAUGAAUAUCCCCUUCCAGUCAAUUCACUUCAUCACCUAUGAGUUUCUGCAGGAGCAAGUCAACCCUCGCCGGGACUACAACCCACAGUCUCACAUCAUCUCAGGAGGCCUGGCCGGGGCACUGGCCGCAGCUGCCACCACCCCGCUGGACGUCUGCAAAACCCUCCUCAACACGCAGGAGAACAUGGCUCUCUCCCUGGCCAACGUCAGCGGCCGGCUGUCGGGCAUGGCCAAUGCCUUCCGGACGGUGUACCAGCUCAACGGCCUUGCCGGCUAUUUCAAAGGCAUCCAGGCUCGAGUCAUCUACCAGAUGCCUUCCACCGCCAUCUCCUGGUCCGUUUAUGAGUUCUUCAAGUACAUCCUUACAAAGAGGCAGCUGGAGAAUCGAACUCUGUACUAAAGGAAUGGGGCAGUGGGAAGUGGUUCUGACAUCCUUUGUUCCAGCUUCAUCCUCUUGUUCUCGCACCCAGGGCUUGUCCUGAAGGGUGCUUGCGCCAGGCCCUUCGUUCCCUGGUGCCGUAGAGAGGGAGGACCGGCCUCCACUGACCAGCAUGCUGUCUGUGGGGACAUCCGAGGUGGUGGUAGGCGGGAGAAACUUGGGGAGAGGGAGAAGUUGCUUUUCUCCUCCUUCCUCCAGAGGAAUGUAGCUUUUCUGCCUCACUGUGGCCUUCUCCCUAGAUCUUUAGAUCACACCGCAGAGGCAAACAGUGACACAGCAAAGAAAAAGUUUAUGUACAUAAAAGUACCAUUACCCCAGUCUGAAAUAGGUGGAUAAUGUUUAUCCUUUAUUUUUCUACAUAGAGAUUUUUGAAAUUGUGUGUGCUUGUGUGUGUCUAUAAAUAAUAUUAGAGUUGGGAAUGAUGGACCUGUUUUGUUUUUUUGUUUUUUAAAUAAGAGAGUUCCAUUCUUCCAUCAUGAGAAGUAAAACAAACAACAACAACAACAAACAAGGGGAAAAAGGCACCAAAGUAAUAAAUGGCUUUAUGUGGCCUGAAAUUGUGUGUAGCGCCCCUCCCAUGGGAGUUUAACUUGAAUGUAAAAUAAUAAAUAUAAAGUUUAUAUUUUGAAUUUCUCUUUUCAUGGGGAAAAAGGUACGUUGAAAACAAAUCAAAAUAGUCUAUCACUUGGAGCUUUUUUUUGUUUUGUUUUUAAUUUUAAUUUUAAAUACAGUUACCCUGCGUGCCUUUCUGUCUUUUCUAAGACUUCCAGGACCAAAAUUAGGGUCCUGGAGCAUUUUCUCCCUCUGUAGACACCCCCGUACAGUCCUCAGCACCAUGGCUGUCUCAGUAGAAUAAGAAUGGCUGGCCUUAACCUUCCGUGUGAGUGAUGUGAGCGUGUGCCUCCCUGUUCAGCUCUUAGCACUGGGAAUGCCACUGUAUGCCUAGCCAAUUGAUGAGACAGUUCCUGCCUUUGUCUUAGGAGUAAUCUCCAUAGCAACCUCCUCCUUGGGCACUUCUGCUAACCUGGUCUAUAAGGUUUGUUAGUAGUCUCCUGUUGACCCAUUUCCCCGGCAGUCUAGGGAUUUUGAGUAUUUCUGGUACUCAUCUGUCACCUACCCUGUUCAGCUCCACGACUUAAACAUCAGAGCCUCUUCACUGCACUGAGGCCAGCCCUCCAGCCGGGACUGAAGCCUGCCACGAUCCUCCGCCCCUCCCGAGCUGCUCAGCAGCCUUGUCUCACCCUGUGUCACUUGAGAACCUCCGUCCUUUCCGCUUUGUUUUCUGAAGUGGAGUCAGAUCAUCUCAGAGAAAGCACAAGCCUGUGUUGUCCAGUCUCCCAUCCUCAUGGAGAUGACAGGAUAGGCUCAGUUUCCUUCUUCCAGUUGUCAACGAGUAAGCUGGGAAGACGCUCAUGUUUUCGUGUCCAUUGCCCUGGUCUCAUUUGGAAGCCACGACUAGCAUGCUCCCUCACUGGGGAGGCUUAGACCUUGAGUUCCCACGGAUGGUCAUGCUGCUGCCUGGGAAGAAAUUGAGCUUGUACUUGGAGAAUUUCAUCUUGGACCCACGUACCACUUGGUGCCAGUAGAUGCAGCUUUUUGGUUUUGUCCAGCAGCUAUGAGAAGUUACACACUGGUCAGCUGACUUUUUUUUUUUUUCCCCAGAGAGAACCACCUCUCUCAAGUACUCCUAUGUAUUCCAGGAGGGCUUCCUGGCUGGCUGCAGUUUGUCUUACUAGUGUCCUGGGCUGGCUGGUGUCCUAUUAUCACUGACAAUGUUUCUAUUCUUACCCUGCUAGCAUUGAGUAGAGUUAAAUUCUAUAAAUGGAGAGGGAAGUCAAAUUGUAGAGUCUAAAGUCAAAUUUAAAUCAAACCCCAAACUAUUCCUAUACCACGCUUAGAUACAUUGUUGACUAAUCCUGCUGCAAGACCAAUAUUUUCCCUUGGAUUUUCUUUACAGUUAUCUAAUACUAGGAUAGCCCCUUUGGUCAUGGCCUUAUAAGGUAGGACCAGGACUUCAGGACUCUGUGAGCUUGAAGUCCAGGGGUCCCAUCCUGGCUAUCCUCUCCUCAUGAUUGGUGGGUCUGCAGGAAGAUAGCUUUUUUAACCUGCCCAUCCAAUUCAGUCACCCUAAGGUUGAGCGAGUGAUAUGUCUGCAAAAAAGUUGUUAAAGGUUGGGAUACAUUCAACGUAAGUUCUGUGCCAGUCAGUCCCCCCUCCCUUAGCUCCAACAUUGAAAUUGUCCUUGACCCUCACGCACAUGAUAGCCAGUGUGUUGAUUGUCAUUUUUGACGUUGCAAAUUUCAAGAUAGGAAAAGGCUCAGUGACCAGUUUAGGAUAGCCAUAACCUAUCUCGGUCAUUGGCAUCUUUGGAGUGACAUCCAAGGAUGGACCAUCCCACCUGUGUACAAUGAUAAUACUUUAGCUGUGUGUGUGUGUGUGUGUGUGUGUGUUCAGGCCAUGUGACAGUCAACCAUUUAAUAGAUGAGUGUUAAUUUAUUAUAGAUAAAUAUUGAUCUUUAAAAAUGGGAUGCUCUUAAUUCAUGACUUUUUAAAGAAUUGGAUUAAAUAUAGCUACUUUUAUGUGAGCUUUCCCCUCUGUCCCCCUGCCCCUUCUCUCUGUCUCAUUUCUCACAACCAUCACCCUCCAGUGUCACCCCCAAGGCUAUAUCUCCAACAUACUGCUAUGCCAUUAAGGUUUUAUUUAACUUUAUUUAUGGAUAAUUAUGUCUAUGAACAACAAAUGUGCCGUUACCGGUCACACAGUGUGUGGGAUAAGAGUGGCCUAGUGUUGCUUUCCGAAUGUCUUAAAAUACCUGUGGUCAAGAUUGUUUUUGCCUUUGUGGCCUUUGGGUUUGGAGAGCAGCAUUGUGUUCACAUGUGUGGAUGUCUGUCGUGCUGCUACAGUUGUAACACUGGAGCUGGAAAAAAUAAAGCAUUGAUCUUGAAA